UACAGAGGGUGCGAGCGUUAAUCGGAAUUACUGGGCGUAAAGCGUGCGUAGACGGCUAUCUAAGUCGGGUGUGAAAGCCCCGGGCUCAACCUGGGAAUUGCAUUCGAGACUGAAUAGCUAGGGUACGGUAGAGGGAAGCGGAAUUCCCAGUGUAGCGGUGAAAUGCGUAGAUAUUGGGAGGAACACCAGUGGCGAAGGCGGCUCACUGGACCGGAACUGACGCUGAGGCGCGAAAGCGUGGGGAGCAAACAGGG
rnacentral:rRNA from 1 species